GACGAACGCUGGCGGCAUGCCUAAUACAUGCAAGUCGAGCGAACGGAUGAAGUGCUUGCACUUCCGACGUUAGCGGCGAACGGGUGAGUAACACGUAAGGAAUCUACCUAUAAGCGGGGGAUAACAUUCGGAAACGGGUGCUAAUACCGCAUAAUAUCUUCUUCCGCAUGGAAGAAGAUUGAAAGACGGCUCUGCUGUCACUUAUAGAUGACCUUGCGGUGCAUUAGUUAGUUGGUGGGGUAAUGGCCUACCAAGACGAUGAUGCAUAGCCGACCUGAGGGGGUGAUCGGCCACAUUGGGACUGAGACACGGCCCAAACUCCUACGGGAGGCAGCAGUAGGGAAUCUUCCGCAAUGGGCGAAAGCCUGACGGAGCAAUGCCGCGUGAGUGAAGAAGGCCUUCGGGUCGUAAAACUCUGUUAUAAGAGAAGAACAAAUUGUAGAGUAACUGCUACAGUCUUGACGGUAUCUUAUCAGAAAGCCACGGCUAACUACGUGCCAGCAGCCGCCGUAA
rnacentral:rRNA from 1 species